CCUACGGGAGGCAGCAGUGGGGAAUAUUGGACAAUGGGGGGAACCCUGAUCCAGCCAUGCCGCGUGUGUGAAGAAGGCCCUCGGGUUGUAAAGCACUUUCAGUGAGGAAGAACGCCUGGUGGUUAAUACCCACCAGGAAAGACAUCACUCACAGAAGAAGCACCGGCUAACUCCGUGCCAGCAGCCGCGGUAAUACGGAGGGUGCGAGCGUUAAUCGGAAUUACUGGGCGUAAAGCGCGCGUAGGUGGCUUGAUAAGCCGGUUGUGAAAGCCCCGGGCUCAACCUGGGAACGGCAUCCGGAACUGUCAAGCUAGAGUGCAGGAGAGGAAGGUAGAAUUCCCGGUGUAGCGGUGAAAUGCGUAGAGAUCGGGAGGAAUACCAGUGGCGAAGGCGGCCUUCUGGACUGACACUGACACUGAGGUGCGAAAGCGUGGGUAGCAAACAGGAUUAGAUACCCUUGUAGUC
rnacentral:rRNA from 1 species